UACGAAGGGGGCUAGCGUUGUUCGGAAUCACUGGGCUUAAAGGGCGCGUAGGCGGGUUGCCAAGUCCGGGGUGAAAGCCCCCAGCUCAACUGGGGAAGGGCCUUGGAUACUGGUGAUCUCGAGGGAGGUAGGGGCAUGCGGAACUUCCGGUGGAGCGGUGAAAUGCGUAGAUAUGCGGAGGAACACCGAUGGCGAAGGCAAUCCCCUGGGCCUGCACUGACGCUCAUGCACGAAAGCGUGGGGAGCAAACAGG
rnacentral:rRNA from 1 species